GCGUCGGUUAGUGCAACGGUUCGAGCACGCAUCCCCGGAUAGGGUGAAAUGUUGGUUCGAGUCCCACUUGAUGCA